CUACGGGUGGCAGCAGUAAGGAAUAUUGCGCAAUGGAGGCAACUCUGACGCAGCCAUGCCGCGUGCAGGAAGAAGGCCUUAUGGGUCGUAAACUGCUUUUAUUUAGGAAUAAACCCCCGAACGUGUUCGGGGCUGAAGGUACUAAACGAAUAAGCACCGGCUAACUCCGUGCCAGCAGCCGCGGUAAUACGGAGGGUGCAAGCGUUAUCCGGAUUUAUUGAGUUUAAAGGGUGCGCAGGCGGGCUAUUAAGUCAGUGGUGAAAUCCCGGGGCUCAACUCCGGAACUGCCAUUGAUACUGAUAGUCUUGAGUUUGGUUGAAGUGGGCGGAAUGUAGCAUGUAGCGGUGAAAUGCAUAGAUAUGCUACAGAACACCAAUCGCGAAGGCAGCUCACUAAGCCAAAACUGACGCUCAUGCACGAAAGCGUGGGGAUCAAACAGGAUUAGAUACCCGCGUAGUC
rnacentral:rRNA from 1 species